rnacentral:rRNA from 1 species
CAAAACUUUCAACAACGGAUCUCUUGGCUCUGGCAUCGAUGAAGAACGCAGCGAAACGCGAUAAGUAAUGUGAAUUGCAGAAUCCAGUGAAUCAACGAAUCUUUGAACGCACAUUGCGCCCGCCAGCAUUCUGGCGGGCAUGCCUGUUCGAGC